rnacentral:rRNA from 1 species
CGCACAUUGCGCCCUCUGGUAUUCCGGAGGGCAUGCCUGCUUGAGCGUCGUU